UACGAAGGGGGCUAGCGUUGCUCGGAAUCACUGGGCGUAAAGGGUGCGUAGGCGGGUCUUUAAGUCAGGGGUGAAAUCCUGGAGCUCAACUCCAGAACUGCCUUUGAUACUGAGGAUCUUGAGUUCGGGAGAGGGAUGCGGAAUUCCAGGUGUAGCGGUGAAAUGCGUAGAUAUCUGGAGGAACACCGGUGGCGAAGGCGGCAUCCUGGACCGAUACUGACGCUGAGGAGCGAAAGCCAGGGGAGCAAACGGG
rnacentral:rRNA from 1 species